rnacentral:rRNA from 1 species
UAGUCAUAUGCUCACCUCAAGGAUUAAGCCAUGCAUGUCGAAGUAUAAACUAGUAUACGGUGAAACUGCGAACGGCUCAUUAAAUCASUUGCAAUCGAAGUGGCGAUAUCAGGUUGUUGAUCGGAUAACACUGGCAAAUCUAGUGCUAAUACGUCCGGGAGCGCGGCGCCGUCACAGGCGCCCGCGCGCCCCCGCUUACUAGCUGCUGCUGCCAACGGGCGGGGAGGGGCUUCGCGGCCCCGCCCCCCCAACCGACGAGCCAUAGUAAGGAGUUGACCGCCCCCGCGGGCGGCGUGCCAUUCGAGCUUCUGCACUAUCAUCUCAGGUUGGUAGAGUAGUGGUCUACCAAGGAGUUUACGGUUAACGGAGGAUUAGGGUUCGACUCCGGAGAAUGAGCCUGAGAGACGGCUCAUACAUCCAAGGAUGGCAGCAGGCGCGAAAAUUACCCAAUGUACACGGUACGAGGUAGUGACAAGGAAUAUCGGGGCCUGUGGGCGUUCUGCCCAUGCGGCCACUGACAUGGACCGGCUCCAAAGGUGCCGGUGAACACGAGUCGAGGGAAAGGUCUGGUGCCAGCAGCCGCGGUAAUUCCAGCUCGACCAGCGUAUAUUAAAGUUGUUGCAGUUAAAACGUUCGUAGUUUGACCUGCGGUGGCCGGGGGUGUGGUCAGGGCGCUGGGGCAGUGCGGCGCGCGUUUGCAAAAGCGCGCGCUGCAUCCCGGCCGUCCGCCGGGGGCGCGUUGCGGGGGUCGUACCCCGCGGCGCGGCCGCGGUCUGCGAAAACAAGCAGGGCCCGUUUACCAGCCACUGUUUGUCGGCGCACAGCAAUGUUCGCGCCGGCGAUUACCAUGAGGAAAUAGGUACGUUCAAAGUAGAGCUUCCCCGCGCGGAAAACCCGGCCGGAGACGGCGGGGCCUCGGCGGGGGUUUUUUUAUCGUUGAACAGGCCAGCAUGGGAUAAUGUGCUAUGACUCGGCGUCACAGCGCGUUGGCUUGCAGCGGAUGCAGAGUAAUGGUUGAUAGGAGUGAGUGCGUGGGCAUCAGGACCAGACGGGGACAGGUGAAAUAGGAUGAUCCGUCUGAGACUAUCGGGAGCGAAAGCGUUUGCCAAGUACACUUUCAUUAAUCAAGAUCGAAAGCCAGGGGAUAGAAGGCGAUUAGACACCACCGUAUUCCUGGCCAUAAACCAUACCAACUAAGAAUUGGGAGUGCAUUCCAUUUUUUAUUUUUGGUUCCUCUCAGCGCUCAUAGAGAAAUCGUUAAGUUUUCGGGUUCUGGGGGGAGUAUGGUCGCAAGGCUGAAACUUGAAGGCAUUGACGGAGAGAUACCACAAGACGUGGAGUCUGCGGCUCAAUUUGACUCAACACGUAAACCUUACCAGGCCCAGACGUGCGUGGGAUUGACAGAUUGAUAGUUCUUUCAUGAUUGCAUGGUUGGUGGUGCAUGGCCGUUCUUAGCCCGUAACGUAAGUCGUCUGCUUUAUUGCGAUAACGAGCGAGACCUCUGUUGUCAAAUACGCCGCACGUGCCUGCUGGCGCCAGCCUCUCGCUGGUCCGCCGCUAUGGGCACCCGUGCGCGCGUUCUUGGCGAGACUGUUGGCGAUUUAAAAGCCAAAGGAAGGUAGAGGCAAUAACAGGUCUGUGAUGCCCUUAGAUGCCCUGGGCCGCACGCGUACUACACUGCCUGGAACAAGGGGUAACGCCGGGGAGGGGGGCGCGGGGCGACCUGCGCCAGCCUUCCGGGCCGCUGGCCUGAGGGGGUCGGCUACUCGCGAGUACCAGGCGUGGCUGGGAUUGGGGCUUGGAACUAUGCCCCAUGAACAAGGAAUGUCUAGUAGGCGCGCUUCACAAAGACGCGCCGAUUCUGUCCCUGUCCCUUGUACACACCGCCCGUCGCUUGAUCCGAUUGGUUGUUUUGGCGAGUUCUUCGGACACGCCGCGCUCUGCGMGGGCCGCGAGGCCCGCGCCGGGGUGCGUGUGGAAGUUGUGCGAGCCUAAAGAAUUAGAGGAACAAGAAGUCGUAACAAGGUAUCC